AGAGUUUGAUUAUGGCUCAGGAUGAACGCUGGCGGCGUGCUUAACACAUGCAAGUCGAACGAAGCACUUUUGCUGAGACCUUCGGGUGGAUUUAAAAGUGACUGAGUGGCGGACGGGUGAGUAACGCGUGGGUAACCUGCCUCACACAGGGGGAUAACAGUUAGAAAUGACUGCUAAUACCGCAUAAGCGCACGGUCUCGCAUGGGACAGUGUGAAAAACUCCGGUGGUGUGAGAUGGACCCGCGUCUGAUUAGCUAGUUGGUGGGGUAACGGCCUACCAAGGCGACGAUCAGUAGCCGACCUGAGAGGGUGACCGGCCACAUUGGGACUGAGACACGGCCCAA
rnacentral:rRNA from 1 species